rnacentral:rRNA from 1 species
CCUACGGGUGGCUGCAGUGGGGAAUCUUCCGCAAUGGACGAAAGUCUGACGGAGCAACGCCGCGUGAGUGAUGAAGGAUUUCGGUCUGUAAAGCUCUGUUGUUUAUGACGAACGUGCAGUGUGUGAACAAUGCAUUGCAAUGACGGUAGUAAACGAGGAAGCCACGGCUAACUACGUGCCAGCAGCCGCGGUAAUACGUAGGUGGCGAGCGUUGUCCGGAAUUAUUGGGCGUAAAGAGCAUGUAGGCGGCUUAAUAAGUCGAGCGUGAAAAUGCGGGGCUCAACCCCGUAUGGCGCUGGAAACUGUUAGGCUUGAGUGCAGGAGAGGAAAGGGGAAUUCCCGGUGUAGCGGUGAAAUGCGUAGAUAUUGGGAGGAACACCAGUGGCGAAGGCG